CUACGGAUGAAAGCGGGGGGAUCGCAAGACCUCGCGCGUCUGGAGCGGCUGAUGGCAGAUUAGGUAGUUGGUGGGAUAAAAAGCCUACCAAGCCAACGAUCUGUAGCUGGUCUGAGAGGAUGAUCAGCCACACUGGGACUGAGACACGGCCCAGACUCCUACGGGAGGCAGCAGUGGGGAAUUUUGGACAAUGGGCGAAAGCCUGAUCCAGCCAUUCCGCGUGCAGGAUGAAGGCCCCUCGGGUUGUAAACUGCUUUUGUACAGAACGAAAAAGCUCUGGCUAAUACCUGGAGUCCAUGACGGUACUGUAAGAAUAAGCACCGGCUAACUACGUGCCAGCAGCCGCGGUAAUACGUAGGGUGCAAGCGUUAAUCGGAAUUACUGGGCGUAAAGCGUGCGCAGGUCGGUUUUGUAAGACAGAGGU
rnacentral:rRNA from 1 species